rnacentral:rRNA from 1 species
UUCAAUACUGUUGGGCGUCAAAAACUCAAUAGUGUGCACUUUUCUCUUAGUAAGACAUCGUAAUCCAUUAGAAAUUGAUGCAUACAAAAUGUAUAUUGGGUCAUCAAAAGGCCGGCAUGAAGUUUAUACGGAAUAAAUGGCAUGAUCUUUUUACGGUCGUGUGUAUUAUCUGUUAAGCGUGCCGUGUCCUGUAAUGACUGUCUGAUGGAUUUUAAAGACGAUAUCACUAAUGUUACGGCAUUACACAUUUCGGUGUGAGUUGGAUAUGUGUCUGAUUAACGAUGGUUAAAUUUGGGAUACCUUUUGGACCCGUCUUGAAACACGGACCAAGGAGUCUAUCUAGUAUGCGAGUAAAUGGAUAGUUUAUGAAAUCUAUUUGCGCAAUAAACGUAACUGUUCAUUCAAUGGGAAUACGAUAAAUAAUUGUUAAAGAUUAUUCAUCUUCCAUCCCGGAGUAUUUUCGUCAACAUAUGCGCAAGCAUAUGGAAAAUAUAUCAUGAGCACACUGGAUACGACCCGAAAGAUGGUGAACUAUGCCUGAUCAGGUCGAAGUCAGGGGAAACCCUGAUGGAGGACCGAAGCAGUUCUGACGUGCAAAUCG